rnacentral:rRNA from 1 species
AUUGAACGCUGGCGGCAGGCCUAACACAUGCAAGUCGAGCGGUAGCACAGAGAGCUUGCUCUCGGGUGACGAGCGGCGGACGGGUGAGUAAUGUCUGGGAAACUGCCUGAUGGAGGGGGAUAACUACUGGAAACGGUAGCUAAUACCGCAUAACGUCGCAAGACCAAAGUGGGGGACCUUCGGGCCUCAUGCCAUCAGAUGUGCCCAGAUGGGAUUAGCUAGUAGGUGGGGUAACGGCUCACCUAGGCGACGAUCCCUAGCUGGUCUGAGAGGAUGACCAGCCACACUGGAACGGAGACACGGUCCAGACUCCUACGGGAGGCAGCAGUGGGGAAUAUUGCACAAUGGGCGCAAGCCUGAUGCAGCCAUGCCGCGUGUGUGAAGAAGGCCUUCGGGUUGUAAAGCACUUUCAGCGGGGAGGAAGGCGGUGAGGUUAAUAACCUCAUCGAUUGACGUUACCCGCAGAAGAAGCACCGGCUAACUCCGUGCCAGCAGCCGCGGUAACAC